UACGAAGGGGGGCUAGCGUUGCUCGGAAUUACUGGGCGUAAAGGGCGCGUAGGCGGCGCAUUUAGUCAGGCGUGAAAUUCCUGGGCUCAACCUGGGGGACUGCGCUUGAGACAGGUGUGCUAGAGGACGGAAGAGGGUCGCGGAAUUCCCAGUGUAGAGGUGAAAUUCGUAGAUAUUGGGGAAGAACACCGGUGGCGAAGGCGGCGACCUGGUCCGUUACUGACGCUGAGGCGCGACAGCGUGGGGGAGCAAACAGG
rnacentral:rRNA from 1 species